AAAAAAUUAAACAUGAUUUACGGAACAAAAACCUAACAGCACCCCCACUUCCAGAUGGCGGGAAGUAAGUACAAUGGACACACAAGUUCUCAUCUCUACCUCCCAGUAGAGGAUUAACCUAAACAAAUACCUAUGGUCCAGCGCAAAGAUUUCAUCCUAUGCAAUUCCAGCAAUGAAGAGUCUUAUCUCCUCUAUUAUGAGGUACAAGAGCCAGAUCCAGCUUCAUUGAGCUGUCUAUACUCACUAAGUAAGAGACACACAAAACAUCACAACAGAAGGCCAGCCAAGAUGGAGGAAGCUAGUGAUUUACUGAACUCCUUGCCCCUGCAUCUCCAUAGCAAGGAUCAGCAGCAUCAAGUGGGGAAAUAUUUCAGGAUGGACUGCUGAUCCUGGCUCCCAAGCAACCUGAGGGAGCACCAGGUGUGCAUAUACUGAGUACAUGCAGCAGCCUGCAUAAACUCCGCUGCAGCAGCAACAAAUGGUCUGAAUGCAGCCACGGGAGCUGGGCUGUAAAUCCUCCUCACCAUCUGGCUGAAAACCUAUAAGAUGCUUCUCUGCAGCAGCAAAGACCCCAGUGGUGGAGUGCUCCACCCUGAGAAUUGGACCCAGGAGGACUUCCCAGUUGCCAUAGCUGCAGCCUGGCCUUAGGUCUCCUAUAUGCCCAACCUUCCAGCAGAUACUGUAUCCUCCCCGGGUUCCACAGAGCUCUUCUCAGCCUUCCAGAGAUUCCUGGUCUCCUGCUUGACAUCAGAGUACCAAGAGGGAGGUGGCAUUGCAGACAUGGAAAAACCACGCUUAGGAUAAUUCUUUUGUUUUCUGUUUUAAAGAUUUAUUUUAAUUAUUUAUUUGUUCACUCAUUUGUUUGUUUGUUUUUUGAGACAGGGUUUCUCUGUGUAACCCUGUCUGUCCUGGAACUCUCUGUGGACCAAAUUGACCUCAAAUUCACACAGAUCCACCUGUCUCUGCCCCCAAGUGCUGGGAUUAAAGGUGUGCACCACAACACCGGGUGAUUUAUUUUAUUUUUGAUGAUGUGCAUAUAUUUGUGUGGGGGUAUAAACGUGAGUGCCAGUACCUGUGGAUGUCAGAGGUGUCGGAUCCCCCAAGAACUGGAGUACAGACAGUUGUGAACUGGAGUACAGGCAGUUGUGAGCUGCCCGAUGUGGGUGCUGGGAACAGAACUCAGGUCUUCUGCAAGAACACUACAUACUCUUAACCAGUGAGCCAUCUCUCCAGCCUCCUCAGCCCAGGAUGUUUCUGACUCUUUAGGGGCUCUUGCAGAUCCCAGGGAGGUCUUCCUGUUGAGCAAUUUCUGUGUCUUAUACGCUGUCCCUCUAAAUUGCUAGAGAUAGGCCUUUGCCACUUUCACUGAGCUGACCCCAAACUGUUGUUAAUGUCCCCACAACUCAUCAUGUCGUCUGUGGAUUUCUAGUCUAGAAGUGGAGUUGCUGCUUGUGAGUGCAUUUCCUUCAAUGGAUAACUGCCCACAAGCUCUCUGGGGGUCCCAGGCUGGUGUCCCCCAUUCCUAUCAUUCUGAAUAAAAAAAUUUUGUCAUGGUUGAGACAAGGUUUCACUAUGUGGCCCAGCCGGAUGGCCAGAUGUAGCAGCAAUCCUCCCACCUAAGCUUCCUAAGAGCUGGAAGUGCGCAGGCCUGUGCACUGUGAAACUUUGGAAGGUUUUCUUUCCUUCUUGCCAUAGUUUUAAUAUUCAUUUCCCUGAUGACCAGUGGACUGGACAUUCUCACAUGUUACCUGAAUAUCUGAAAUGCUCACAUGCAGCUAGGUGUGACGGUAAUAGCAGCGUUUGAGAGGUAGAAAUAGUAGGGUUAGGAGUUCAAGGUCAGCCUCAGCGACACGGGAAGUUUGCGUCCUGUAGUGAGUGGCUGUUUGUGCCCUGAAGCACGGCCCUGAGGGAGGCAGCAGGUAGCUGCUAGGUACCUGACCCUUGGCCAAGGCUGCCAGGGGCCCUUAAGACCGGGAUGCAUGUACGUACGUGUGCUCUCUUCUCUUCGCUACCUCGUGGUCUUGGAUGCUGGUGCGGAUCAAGGCAGAACUCUCCUAAGAACCCCAUUGGACUGUGCCCCACCCCUCCAGGAUUCCACGACCAACUCCUUAACUCUGGUUGUGAGUUAACCCCCAAAUAAAUUCCUUUGACCAUCAAAUAGACUCUGUGGAUUUAUCCCAUUAUCUGGUGCUCAUGUGGGGCCAACUCCAAAUGCCCGGGUGGCCUCUGCCCUCAGCCUCCGUGGCUGCUGUGGCACACUUUCCACGCUUCCUUGUCUGUUUUAAACUUCUUGUUCCUCCUGGGGACUCAGUGCUUACCCAUUUGGCCCAGUCGUGGGCAUCAGUUCCCUAUUUUGAGCUACAAGUUGUACCUUACGCGCUCCUCCCCGCAAGCCGGGUCCUGUAGAGCCUCUGAGCACACCCAGUGUGUGUAAGCAUGAGAAGAGGUGGCUGCCCGACCACCCUGGCUUCCCCGCUGGCCAUUGCUAAACUUGUUCAACAGGUCAGUGUCUUCGGCAGGACCUGCUUCAGUGCGACACCUGCAACACUUGCUGGCUGACCAGCGUUACUACACCCCCCCCC